rnacentral:rRNA from 1 species
CCUACGGGAGGCUGCAGUAGGGAAUCUUUCACAAUGGGCGAAAGCCUGAUGGAGCAACGCCGCGUGCAGGAUGAAGGCCUUCGGGUUGUAAACUGCUUUUAUAAGCGAGAAAUAUGAUGGUAACUUAUGAAUAAGGAUCGGCUAACUACGUGCCAGCAGCCGCGGUCAUACGUAGGAUCCGAGCAUUAUCCGGGGUGACUGGGUGUAAAGAGUUGCGUAGGUGGCAUAAUAAGUAGCUAGUGAAAUCUGGUGGCUCAACCAUUCAGACUAUUAGCUAAACUGUUAAGCUCGAGACCGUUAGGGGUAACUGGAAUUCCUGGUGUAGGAGUGAAAUCCGUAGAUAUUAGAAGGAACACCAAUAGCGUAGGCAGGUUGCUGGGACGGUUCUGACACUAAGGCACGAAAGCGUAGGGAGCAAACGGGAUUAGAUACCCCUGUAGUC